UACGAAGGGGGCUAGCGUUGUUCGGAAUUACUGGGCGUAAAGCGCACGUAGGCGGAUACUUAAGUCAGGGGUGAAAUCCCAGAGCUCAACUCUGGAACUGCCUUUGAUACUGGGUAUCUCGAGUAUGGAAGAGGUGAGUGGAAUUCCGAGUGUAGAGGUGAAAUUCGUAGAUAUUCGGAGGAACACCAGUGGCGAAGGCGGCUCACUGGUCCAUUACUGACGCUGAGGUGCGAAAGCGUGGGGAGCAAACAGG
rnacentral:rRNA from 1 species